UACAGAGGUCUCAAGCGUUGUUCGGAUUCAUUGGGCGUAAAGGGUGCGUAGGCGGCGCGGUAAGUCGGGUGUGAAAUCUUGGAGCUUAACUCCGAAACUGCAUUCGAUACUGCCGUGCUUGAGGACUGGAGAGGAGACUGGAAUUUACGGUGUAGCGGUGAAAUGCGUAGAUAUCGUAAGGAAGACCAGUGGCGAAAGCGGCUCUCUGGCCCGGAUCUGACGCUGAGGCGCGAAAGCGUGGGGAGCAAACAGG
rnacentral:rRNA from 1 species